CAAACGGCCCUUUUCAGGGCCACCCAAAUUCUCACAAGAGAGUAA
rfam:Lottia gigantea unplaced genomic scaffold LOTGIsca_12857, whole genome shotgun sequence.